rnacentral:lncRNA from 1 species
UGCCUUUUCCUCAGCCUUUAUUAUCGUGUCUGAAAAUUACAGAAGUGUCAGAUAAACCAGGUUCACAUCCACAAUCCCGGCAAUGCAUCGCAAGGU